UUAACUCUUAAUUUGUAUGAAGUUGGAACGUUUGCCUACGUUUGCCGCUAGGGGCGCUGUUCCAACUGCAUACUUUGAGUUC
rnacentral:pre_miRNA from 1 species